GCCGGGCGGGGCGGCGCGGCGGGCGGCCGCCUUGCUGUCGGCGACGCGCGGGCCGGGCCCGAUCGGCACGGGCAGCCCGGCG
rnacentral:tRNA from 3 species